GCGGGCGUGGCGUAAUUGGCUAGCGCAUUAGACUUCGGAUCUUAGGGUUGCAGGUUCGAAUCCUGUCGUCCGCU
rnacentral:tRNA from 1 species